UGAGGAACAUGACCUUCGGCGGGGGAUAGCCGGCCCAACGGCCGGGUAAUACCGCGUACGACCACAUGGGGACAUCCCUGAGUGGUGAAAGCAGCAAUGCGCCGAUGGAGUGCCUCGCGGCCUAUCAGCUAGUUGGUGAGGUAACGGCUCACCAAGGCGACGACGGGUAGCUGGUCUGAGAGGAUGGCCAGCCACAUUGGGACUGAGACACGGCCCAGACCUGUAACCGGGGAGG
rnacentral:rRNA from 1 species